ACGCCAAACAGCUGAGUUGGAAUCUAUGCAUACUUACAAAGGGUCAACUGGAGAAGAAAUGUAAAAUUAACGAGAAGAUUUAUCCCCUGCUGGGUUUUUGUUUGAACCAAUAGACCGAAGUGGAAGAGCUUUAAUAUCAGGCCCAUGUAUUCAUCAAGCGGUUUGAAACGUGAUGUGGUAACUGUUGACGAAAAAGGCAGGCACCAUGGAAUGGAACAGAAGGGGGCGCACUCUAUGUGUUAGUGCGGAGGUAGCGGUGCGGUAAAUCUUGUGCUCACCUCAAACUUGCAGUCUGUUGAAGAAACGAGAGUCUGUGAUGGUCGAAACUCUGCCUCUUCAUCUCCAUGGCUGUCUCACUCUGAGCAAGAUACCUGUGAGUCUGAUGCCAUGGGUCCAGUAGAAGAAGGCCCGCAGCAACCAUCAGUCUCCCUCCUUCCUCCUUCAUCGGUUCAAAUCCCGGAAAAGAAUAAGGCGACCGCAGCGUGUUUGGUGAGCGGUUUCAACCUGGGCGCUGUGGAGAUUCAGUGGACGGUAGAUGGCAGUGUUAAGGGGCGCGAUGUAGAGACCAGCCGGAUCCAGCUGGAGACGGACAACACGGUCAGCGUGAGUCGUCAUCUGAUCCUGUCAGCCACACAGUGGAACUCACGUGGGCUUUGCUCCUGUGGGGUUGAACGCGAGUCUCGGGCAAAACCGUUUCAGACAAUUAUCUCGAGAUCCAGUUGUAUGUGACCAGUUUUUUUUUAACGGACUUAUUGGUGUUAACUGAAACGCUUCUAUUCGUUUACAACUAUGCAUCCGAUCAAGUCGAUUAAAAAACAGCAAUAAUGUGAUUGUAUCUUGGGCACUUAAUCAUUAUGAAUCUAGCCCAACACAGCAAUUCAAUUAAACGAUUGAACGAGCAUCAAA